rnacentral:rRNA from 1 species
AAUCGACGCUGGCGGCGUGCCUCAGACAUGCAAGUCGAACGUGAAAGUUCCUUCGGGAAUGAGUAAAGUGGCGCACGGGUGAGUAACACGUGGGUAAUUUGCCUUCGGGUGGGGAAUACCAACCGGAAACGGUUGUUAAUACCGCAUGAUGCAGCGGCUCCGAUUGGAGACAGUUGUUAAAGCGGGGGAGCGGAGUAAUCCGUCCUCGCGCCUGAAGAGAAGCCCGCGGCGGAUUA